AACGAACGCUGGCGGCAUGCCUAACACAUGCAAGUCGAACGAAACCUUCGGGUCUAGUGGCGCUCGUGGGCGUAACGCGUGGGAACCUGCCCUUAGGUUCGGAAUAACUCCCCGAAAGGGGUCCUAAUACCGGUUAAUCUAUUAGGGCAAAGGAGUUCUGGCUUUUGGAUGGGCGCGCGUUGGUUUAGCUAGUUGGUAGGGUAAAAGCCGAGCAUGGCGACGAUGCAUAGCUGGUCUGUGAGGAUGACCAACCACACUGGAGCUGAGACACGGCCCAGACUGGUACGCAAGGCAGCAGUGGGGAAUAUUGGAGGCUGGGCGAAAGCCUGAUCAAGCAGUGCCGCGUGAGUGAUGAAGGCGGUAGGGUUGUAAAGCUCUUUUUGCCGGGAUGAUAAUGACAGUACCGGGAGAAUAAGCACCGGCUAACUCCGUG
rnacentral:rRNA from 1 species